AUAAAACCAUUUAUUACCAUUUAAAAUAAAAGUCAAUGGACUACACUUUUGAUUUGGUUACAAAACAGACACAGCAUUAAAAGCUAUUCAUGAGAGCACUCAUUUGGUGUGGAAAUAAUUCCUUGUUUAAAAAGAAAACGAUUUCUCCGAUACGUGCGGGGGGGUGGGGAAAAAAAAGUCUCACUUUGGAUCAAAUCCCUUAGAAUUGUAAAUCUCGAUACUGUAAAAUCAAAAAAAAAAAAAUACAACGAAGGUCUAAAUAACCCGUUGAAAAUAAAAUACUCAAAUAAUUAGGUCCCUCUCUUCCUUAAGGAAAAAGAAAAUAAAAGGAAAAAUGAAUUUAUUUUUUUUUUAAACAUUUUUCAUCUACAUGAUUCCCAUAAAAGAGAAUAAAACCACAACUUAAUUCCAAAAAACUUUCACUUAUAAAUUUAAAUAUUGUGCAAUUGCGGGGUGGGGGGGGGGGGGGAAAACCAGGCUAAUAAAUUGUAAAAGGCAUUUAAAAGUAUUUAAAAGCCAAAUCAGUGGAAGGUCUAACCCUACAAUGCAGAAGCAUUAGAAACAGCACUAAAAUGUUCGCAGAUUUUUCUUCCCAAGAGAUGAAAACUUUGGAAGGAAAUGAGGAGCGUCAACACACCUCUGCCAUCGUUUACGAUCUACCUAUCUCGCCGGUUUAAUCGCUUCCACCCCCACCGACACCGGUCCUGGUUCGAGCAGGAAGCCGAGCAGAAGACGGGAAAACUGAAAGCAAACACAGCUUCCAACGUGGACAAAACGUGCAUGUAUUUGUUUACGACGGUGUUAUUUUUUUAUUCCCCGUUUCCCAGGCUUGCCAAUUUUCUGAUCUUUUUAUUUUUAAAACGGGGGGGGGGAAAAAAGUGCAUUUCAUCUCGAUCCUCCCAAAAUAAAGUUCAAAUAAACACCCUUCUGUCUACACGGUUGCUCUGAGGGUUGCCGGUACGCAUUUCCCCGCUCUGGUUUUUAAACUCAAAACACAUUUGAACGAGUCGGAUGCACUGGAUUUUGCUGAACAAAGCACUGCCAAGAAGCGGGUGCUCCUCGCGUCUCCUCCAGAACGGGGACCCACCCGCCAGACCACCGCUGCCUGCAAGCAUCGAGAUGGGGGGUGCGAAGGGGGUUAUUUUGUUUUGUCGUCUGUCCGUAGCAAAGGAAAAGCUCGACUGAAUUUUGCACGGAUGCCUGAACACGAAAGGAAAACGACUCCCAAAAAACAAACAAAAAAAUGAUAUGUAGGGGUUUUCCAGGUUGCAAAUCGCCCAUGCGGCUCCAAAGCAGCUUGUAUUAAAAAAACAAACAAACCCAACACAGCAAAAAACUGAACUGACGCUCUGGAUGAACAUACGUUUUAUCUUGAGGCAACAGGAUUAAAAUCAUCAGAAACUGAAACAACAGGUCAUCAAAAAUUGCUUUGCCAAACAGUUCCUAAAAUGCACCAGUUUCCAAAGCCCACGGUUUGUUUAGAGCUUUCUGCCUUCCCAAGAUUUUUUUUUUUUUAAAUAAGCAACUUGUUAAAAAAAGCCCCAUAAAGCAAAGAACCCAACUUCUAGUUACAUAGCUUUCCUUUUCCACUUUCAUACAGAGCAGCAUCGCAAGAUUGCCGCUUUUCUUUCUUUUGCAAGAAAUAAUGUGCAUUUUCAGGGGCCCCCCCCCCCACUCCUCUUUUAAAUCAAAGUUAAACUAACAUUUUGUUUCCCAAGGGUUAAUAAAUAAAUCUGGUGCAUAGUGAUAUAGCAGCCAACUGAUUGCAGUCCAUAUAUUAUUAUAUUGCCUUUCUGGUCAUCUUAGAAUGUUAACGUUUUUCCCCCCCAAUAUUUUUAAGAGCAUAGAUAAUUUUAAAUCUCUAUAAAACAACAGUAUUACUUAAUCCAAUUGAUUCCUGUAUAUAGUGCAUUCGGCUUUAUCAACAUCAUUAAAUUAAUUCUUAUAUUAUUUGCAUGCUAUUACAUACAAACUUUCAUUAAGACUUGUGUUUAUUUUAUUUUUUUUUAAGAUUUUUUUUUUCCUUAAAUCACCAAGCAAAAUAUAGGCUCAGAAAAAAAGGCAAAAAACUAACUAAAUUCUACAUAUGUACAAGUGGACACCUUGAAAUAAGUUAAGUCUGGCUCAGGUUUCCUUUUUUUUUUAAAAAAAACGAAACAAAAGAAAACAAACAAAAAAACCCAACAACUUUAACAACAAGAAUAUUAAUAAGAAAAAGGAGGGAGAUAAAAAGCAGGUAAACUCAACCCUUUUUGUCGUCUGAAGUCCCAAGACACAUAUCCCAGCCCCUUGUGUGUGUGUUUUGCUGCACUGCUCCAUUGAGAGAGAAAACAUCACUUUGCAAACAUUUGUUUAAGACUAUUCGUUUUUGUUUAAGACGCACCCCAGAAGUGCUGCAAACAGAAAACUGAACGUUUGGGGAUGGGGGAAAGGAAAAAAGAAAAAAAAAAAAAAAAAAAAACCCAAAAAAAUUUUAAAAAGAAAAAAAAACAGGAUCAUGCUUUUUUUUUUUUUUUUUUUUCUUCAUCUGUUCUAGUACAAAAGAAAAAAAAAGGGCAGGGGGGGCGAUUAUUGAAAUACCAUACAUGUCCUGCAUGCAGGAUUGCUUAAAAAGUCUUCUAAGAACCACAGGUAACAGCUUCUCGGCACGGCUCCUCGGAGGCUGCUUUCUUGGGGCGAAGGGCGAUACAGGAAGAUUUCACCACGGGCUCUCUCUUUCCUCCCCGCAACACGCUGCGUGUCACCCAGUUUCCAGGAGAACAAAAAAAAAAGAUAAAAUAAAAAA